rnacentral:rRNA from 1 species
GAAAGGCUUCGGCCGGACAGGGAUGGGCAUGCGGCGCAUUAGGCAGUAGGCGGGGUAACGGCCCACCUAACCGACGAUGCGUAGGGGUUCUGAGAGGAAGGUCCCCCACACUGGUACUGAGACACGGACCAGACUCCUACGGGAGGCAGCAGUGAGGAAUAUUGGUCAAUGGUCGGGAGACUGAACCAGCCAAGCCGCGUGAGGGAUGAAGGUACAGAGUAUCGUAAACCUCUUUUGUCAGGGAACAAAGGCGGGGACGUGUCCCCGGAUGAGUGUACCUGAAGAAAAAGCAUCGGCUAACUCCGUGCCAGCAGCCGCGGUAAUACGGAGGAUGCGAGCGUUAUCCGGAUUUAUUGGGUUUAAAGGGUGCGCAGGCGGUCUGUUAAGUCAGCGGUCAAAGCCCGGGGCUCAACCCCGGCCCGCCGUUGAAACUGGCAGUCUCGAGUUGGAGAGAAGUAUGCGGAAUGCGCGGUGUAGCGGUGAAAUGCAUAGAUAUCGCGCAGAACUCCGAUUGCGAAGGCAGCAUGCCGGCUCCACACUGACGCUGAGGCACGAAAGCGUGGGUAUCGAACAGGAUUAGAUACCCUGGUAGUCCACGCAGUAAACGAUGAAAGCUGGCUGUCCGGGGGGAUUGACCCCUGG